AGAGGGAGCAAGCGUUGUUCGGAAUUACUGGGCGUAAAGGGCGCGUAGGCGGUUCGAUAAGUCCCGUGUGAAAUCCCUCGGCUCAACUGAGGAAUGGCACGGGAAACUGACGGGCUUGAGUUCGGGAGAGGGAAGCGGAAUUCCGGGUGUAGCGGUGAAAUGCGUAGAUAUCCGGAGGAACACCGGUGGCGAAGGCGGCUUCCUGGACCGACACUGACGCUGAGGCGCGAAAGCUAGGGGAGCAAACGGGAUUAGAUACCCCGGUAGUCCUAGCUGUAAACGAUGAGUGCUGGGUGUAGGGGGUAUCUACCCCCCCUGUGCCGAAGCUAACGCAUUAAGCACUCCGCCUGGGGAGUACGGUCGCAAGGCUG
rnacentral:rRNA from 1 species